AUACGUAGGGGGCGAGCGUUGUCCGGAAUGAUUGGGCGUAAAGGGCGCGUAGGCGGCGCGGUAAGUCUGGAGUGAAAGUCCUGCUUUUAAGGUGGGAAUUGCUUUGGAUACUGCCGCGCUUGAGUGCAGGAGAGGUUAUCGGAAUUCCCGGUGUAGCGGUGAAAUGCGUAGAGAUCGGGAGGAACACCAGUGGCGAAGGCGGGUAACUGGACUGCAACUGACGCUGAGGCGCGAAAGUGUGGGGAGCAAACAGGAUUAGAUACCCUGGUAGUCCACACUGUAAACGAUGAAUGCUAGGUGUAAGAGGUAUCGACCCCUUUUGUGCCGGAGUCAACACAAUAAGCAUUCCGCCUGGGGAGUACGGCCGCAAGGUUGAAACUCAAAUGAAUUGACGGGG
rnacentral:rRNA from 1 species